GCCCUAGUAACGGCGAGUGAAGCGGCAACAGCUCAAAUUUGAAAUCUGGCGUAAGCCCGAGUUGUAAUUUGUAGAGGAUGCUUCUGGGUAGCGGCCGGUCUAAGUUCCUUGGAACAGGACGUCAUAGAGGGUGAGAAUCCCGUAUGUGACUGGCUUGCACCCUCCACGUAGCUCCUUCGACGAGUCGAGUUGUUUGGGAAUGCAGCUCUAAAUGGGAGGUAAAUUUCUUCUAAAGCUAAAUACCGGCCAGAGACCGAUAGCGCACAAGUAGAGUGAUCGAAAGAUGAAAAGCACUUUGGAAAGAGAGUUAAAAAGCACGUGAAAUUGUUGAAAGGGAAGCGCCCGCAACCAGACUUUGCGGCGGUGUUCGGCUGGUCUUCUGACCGGUUUACUCGCCGCCGUGAGGCCAUCAUCGUCUGGGACCGCUGGAUAAGACCUGAGGAAUGUAGCUCCCUUCGGGGUGUGUUAUAGCCUCUGGUGAUGCAGCGCGUCUCGGGCGAGGUCCGCGCUUCGGCAAGGAUGAUGGCGUAAUGGUUGUCGGCGGCCCGUCUUGAAACACGGACCAAGGAGUCUAACAUCUAUGCGAGUGUUCGGGUGUCAAACCCCUACGCGUAAUGAAAGUGAACGGAGGUGGGAACUUUUCGUGCACCAUCGACCGAUCCUGAUGUCCUCGGAUGGAUUUGAGUAAGAGCAUAGCUGUUGGGACCCGAAAGAUGGUGAACUAUGCCUG
rnacentral:rRNA from 1 species